AGAAUCAACGCUGGCGGCGUGCCUAACACAUGCAAGUCGCACGAGAAAGGGGAUUCGUCCCUGAGUAAAGUGGCGCACGGGUGAGUAACACGUGACUAACCUACCUUCGAGUGGGGGAUAACCUCGGGAAACCGAGGCUAAUACCGCAUAACAUCGUGAGAUCAAAGCAGUAAUGCGCUGGAAGAGGGGGUCGCGGCUGAUUAGCUAGUUGGCGGGGUAAUGGCCCACCAAGGCGAAGAUCGGUA
rnacentral:rRNA from 1 species